AUGGAUCGACGUUUGGGGUGGCUAGAUUCGCGUUUUCGGCUUGCCAUUUACACAGCAGUCACUUCAGAGCCAAUUUGACUAUAGCUUCUGACAUUAUUUCGAAAAACUUAAAGAAUUAAAGUUGUAGAUCUACUUCUUCUCUUUCCGGAACAUCUUGAAUCAUUGAAAUCGGAGUUCGGACGAAGAAGUUAUGGCCAUUUUCCCAAAGGACGUCGGAGCAGAAAAUGUCAUGUUUUUGGGCCAGCGCCGGGGCGCUACUUCUAGUGCUUUUUCCAGCGCCGGGGCGCUACUUCUAGUGCUUUUUCCAGCGCCGGGACGCUAGGGGGCAGACUCCAGCGCCGUUGCCCAGCGCUGGGGCGCUGGGGGAAGGGUUUGGUGCGGCCUGGACGCGUUUUGGGCGAAUUUUGACACCUUUUUGACUCCAAAUAGGAUUGGGUUUGUUCCUAAGCUAAAAAUUGGACUUGUAACCUAUAAAUACAUGAUGUAAUGCAUAAAAUAAGGG
rnacentral:lncRNA from 1 species